GGUCAAGUGAAUAAGUGCAUACGACGGAUGCCUUGGCAUUAGAAGGCGAUGAAGGACGUGAUAAUCUGCGAUAAGCUUCGGUUAGCUGAUAAUAAGCAUUAUUAGCCGAAGAUCUCCGAAUGGGAAAACCCAGCAGUCAUCAGACUGUUAUCCUUGACUGAAUACAUAGGUCAAGGAGGCAAACCUAGGGAACUGAAACAUCUAAGUACCUAGAGGAAAAGAAAUCAACCGAGAUUCCCUUAGUAGCGGCGAGCGAACGGGGAUCAGCCCUUAAGCCUAUUUUUAAUUAGCAGAAUGUUCUGGAAAGUUCAACGAUACAGGGUGAUAGUCCCGUACGCGAAAAUUAAUUUUAGGUGAAAUCGAGUAAGGCGGCGCACGUGAAACGCUGUUUGAAUAUGGGGGGACCACCCUCCAAGGCUAAAUACUCUCUAAUGACCGAUAGUGAACAAGUACCGUGAGGGAAAGGCGAAAAGAACCCCGGGAGGGGAGUGAAAUAGAACCUGAAAUCGUAUGCAUACAAGCAGUAGGAGCGGAUUUAUUCCGUGACUGCGUACCUUUUGUAUAAUGGGUCAGCGACUUACAUUUUGUGGCAAGCUUAACCGAAUAGGGGAGGCGUAGCGAAAGCGAGUCUUAAUAGGGCGUCCAGUUCGUCGAAUUAGACCCGAAACCAGGUGAUCUAGGCAUGG
rnacentral:rRNA from 1 species